AACGAACGCUGGCGGCAGGCCUAACACAUGCAAGUCGAGCGCGCCCUUCGGGGUGAGCGGCGGGCGGGUGAGUAACGCGUGGGAAAGUGCCCUUUUCUACGGCAUCGCCUCGGGAAACAGCGAGCAAUACCGUAUACGCUCCUUGGGGGAAAGAUAUAUCGGAAAAGGAUCGGCUCGCGUUGGAUUAGGCUGUUGGUGGGGUCAUGGCCUACCAAGCCGGCGAUUCAUAGCUGGGUUGAGAGGAUGAGCAGACACACUGGGACUGAGACACGGUCCAGACUCCUACGGGAGGCAGCAGUGGGGAAUCUUAGAAAAUGGGGGCAACCAUGAACUAGCCAGGCCGCGUGAGUGAUGAAGGCCUGAGGGUUGUAAAGCUCUUUCAGCUGGGAAGAUAAUGACGGUACCAUCAGAAGAAGCCCCGGCUAACUCCGUG
rnacentral:rRNA from 1 species